GACGAACGCUGGCGGCGUGCUUAACACAUGCAAGUCGAACGGUGAAGCGCUUUCCUUUUUGGUUGGUGUGGAUGAGUGGCGAACGGGUGAGUAACACGUGAGUAACCUGCCCCCUUCUUCUGGAUAACCGCAUGAAAGUGUGGCUAAUACGGGAUAUUCUGCGCCUGCUGCAUGGUGGGUGUGGGAAAGAUUGUGCCUUUGGGUGUUUUCGGUGGGGGAUGGGCUCGCGGCCUAUCAGCUUGUUGGUGGGGUGAUGGCCUACCAAGGCGGUGACGGGUAGCCGGCCUGGGAGGGGGGACGGUCACACUGGGACUGAGACACGGCCCAGACUCCUACGGGAGGCAGCAGUGGGGAAUAUUGCACAAUGGGCGCAAGCCUGAUGCAGCGACGCCGCGUGAGGGAUGGAGGCCUUCGGGUUGUGAACCUCUUUCGCCAGUGAAGCAGGCCUGCUCCUUGUGGGUGGGUUGACGGUAGCUGGAUAAGAAGCGCCGGCUAACUACGUG
rnacentral:rRNA from 1 species